rnacentral:rRNA from 1 species
CGAACGGGUGAGUAAUGCAUCGGAACGUAUCCUUAAGUGGGGGAUAACGCAUCGAAAGAUGCGCUAAUACCGCAUAAUCUCUGAGGAGAAAAGCAGGGGAUCGCAAGACCUUGCGCUUUUGGAGCGGCCGAUGUCUGAUUAGCUAGUUGGUGAGGUAAAGGCUUACCAAGGCUUCGAUCAGUAGCUGGUCUGAGAGGACGACCAGCCACACUGGGACUGAGACACGGCCCAGACUCCUACGGGAGGCAGCAGUGGGGAAUUUUGGACAAUGGGGGAAACCCUGAUCCAGCCAUGCCGCGUGAGUGAAGAAGGCCUUCGGGUUGUAAAGCUCUUUCAGCCGGAACGAAAAGGUUACGGUUAAUACCCGUGACUAAUGACGGUAC